CCUACGGGUGGCAGCAGUAGGGAAUCUUCCACAAUGGGGGAAAGCCUGAUGGAGCAACGCCGCGUGUGUGAAGAAGGUCUUCGGAUCGUAAAACCCUGUUGUUAGAGGAGAAAGUGCGUGAGAGUAACGGUUCACGCUUCGACGGUAUCUGACCAGAAAGCCACGGCUAACUAAGUGCCAGCAGCCGCGGGAAGACGUAGGUGGGAAGCGUUAUCCGGAGUUAUUGGGCGGAAAGGGAACGCAGGGGGUCUUUGAAGUCUGAUGUGAAAGACUACGGCUUAAACGGAGUAGUGCACUGGAAACUGGAGGACUUGAGUGCAGAAGAGGAGAGUGGAACUCCAAGUGUAGCGGUGAAAUGCGUAGAUAUAAGGAAGAACACCAGUGGCGAAGGCGGCUCUCUGGUCUGUAACUGACGCUGAGGUUCGAAAGCGUGGGUAGCAAACAGGAUUAGAUACCCUUGUAGUC
rnacentral:rRNA from 1 species